rnacentral:misc_RNA from 1 species
AAGUCGUAACAAGGUUUCCGUAGGUGAACCUGCGGAAGGAUCAUUAACACGUGAUACUCACGUAUUAUACAAACUCACCGGUAACUGUUAUUCUGUCCUAUUGUUGAUUGUCUGUAGACGAAAUGAGGGAAUGCUAUGAGCCGCCUUAACUGUACGCUCUAACUUACUCGUCGUUCUUAGGUCCGCCCUGGAGCUUGCACCAACAAAUAGUUGAUUUAAUUGCGCUUGUGUAACUUGUAGCAUAGUUAUGCACUCGUGGUGAAAAUAUUACAAACAACCCCAUUCUAUUAUUUACUGAUUUGUAUGUUUGUAUGAAUUCCUGACUUCGGUCGGUUGAGUUUAUAUAGAUGUCGUAUAUUACUAAUACGAAACAACUCUUAGCAACGGAUAUCUUGGUUCUC